GGUGAGAUGGAAUAAUUGGUUAGUUCAUUGGGUUCAUGCCCCAAAGGUGUAGGUUCGAGUCCUACUCUUGCCA
rfam:Dictyostelium discoideum mitochondrial DNA, complete genome.